rnacentral:rRNA from 1 species
GGCAGCAGCUAAGAAUAUUCCGCAAUGGACGAAAGUCUGACGGAGCGACGCCGCGUGGAUGAUGAAGGCCGGAAGGUUGUAAAAUCCUUUUAUGACUGAGGAAUAAGCAGGGUGAGAGAAACGCCCUGUGGUGACUGUAGGUCAUGAAUAAGCAACGACUAAUUACGUGCCAGCAGCCGCGGUAACACGUAAGUUGCGAGCGUUGUUCGGAAUUAUUGGGCGUAAAGGGCAUGUAGGCGGUUCUGCAAGUCUGGUGUGAAAUACCGGGGCUCAACCCCGGAACUGCGUUGGAAACUGCAGGACUUGAAUCGCUGAGGGGCAGCCAGAAUUCCAGGUGUAGGGGUGAAAUCUGUAGAUAUCUGGAAGAAUACCAAUGGCGAAGGCAGGCUGCCAGCAGAUGAUUGACGCUGAGGUGCGAAGGUGCGGGGAGCAAACAGGAUUAGAUACCCUGGUAGUCCGCACAGUCAACUAUGUACACUAGGUGUCCGGUCAUGAGACUGGGUGCCGAAGCAAACGCGAUAAGUGUACCGCCUGGGGAGUAUGCCCGCAAGGGUGAAACUCACAGGAAUUGACGG